UACGUAGGUGGCAAGCGUUGUCCGGAAUUAUUGGGCGUAAAGCGCGCGCAGGCGGUCUUCCAAGUCAGUGGUGAAAGCCCGGAGCUCAACUCCGGAACUGCCAUUGAAACUGUUAGACUUGAGGAUGAGAGAGGUGAGUGGAAUUCCCAGUGUAGAGGUGAAAUUCGUAGAUAUUGGGAAGAACACCGGUGGCGAAGGCGGCUCACUGGCUCAUUACUGACGCUCAGGCGCGAUAGCGUGGGGAUCAAACAGG
rnacentral:rRNA from 1 species